ACAGUGAGAAGUGGGACCAGUGCUGGGUCCUUCCCUUGCUGCUGAUGUCCCCCAGGCUCACCCUCCCAGGGGUGGAUUUUACCUUUGAGGAGGACAAUCCCUGACCUUCAAACCCACAAGUGUUAUAAAAGAGAAAAUUACCAAGUUGGAGGGUCA
rnacentral:lncRNA from 1 species